rnacentral:rRNA from 1 species
ACGAACGCUGGCGGCGUGCUUAACACAUGCAAGUCGAACGGUAAGGCUCCAGCUUGCUGGGGUACACGAGUGGCGAACGGGUGAGUAACACGUGGGUGACCUGCCCUGCACUUCGGGAUAAGCCUGGGAAACUGGGUCUAAUACCGGAUAGGACUGCACCGUGAGGGUGUGGUGGAAAGUUUUUUCGGUGUGGGAUGGGCCCGCGGCCUAUCAGCUUGUUGGUGGGGUAAUGGCCUACCAAGGCGGCGACGGGUAGCCGGCCUGAGAGGGUGGACGGCCACAUUGGGACUGAGACACGGCCCAGACUCCUACGGGAGGCAGCAGUGGGGAAUAUUGCACAAUGGGCGGAAGCCUGAUGCAGCGACGCCGCGUGGGGGAUGACGGCCUUCGGGUUGUAAACUCCUUUCACCAUCGACGAAGGGUUUCUGACGGUAGAUGGAGAAGAAGCACCGGCUAACUACGUG